rnacentral:rRNA from 1 species
UACGUAGGGUCCAAGCGUUAUCCGGAAUUACUGGGCGUAAAGCGUGCGUAGGUGGCGCGUUAAGUGUAAUGCGAAAUCCCGUGGCUCAACCAUGUGGACUGUAUUGCAUACUGGCGUGCUAGAGGAUAUGAGAGGCAAAUGGAAUUACCGGUGUAGCAGUGAAAUGCGUAGAGAUCGGUAGGAACACCAAUGGCGAAGGCAGUUUGCUGGCAUAUUUCUGACGCUAAGGCACGAAAGCGUGGGGAGCGAACAGG